AAGGGCGACUGAAGCGGGAAUAGCUCACGAUGCGAAUCAGCGCCGCCGAAUUGUGGUCUGGAGACUCUUGCAUUCGGGCCAAGUCCCUUGGAACAGGGCAGCCGAGAGGGUGAGACUCCCGUCCGCCUGGCCUUGUCNACGAGUCGAGUUGUUUGGGAUUGCAGCUCUAAGUGGGUGGUAAAUUCCAUCUAAAGCUAAAUACUGGUGGGAGACCGAUAGCGUACAAGUACCGUGAGGGAAAGAUGCAAAGAACUUUGAAAAGAGAGUUAAAGAGUACCUGAAAUUGCUGAAAGGGAAGCGAAGGAAACCAGUGUUGUUGCGUCAUAUUUCCCCGUUCGCUUGCGGUCGGGGCGCUGUGGCCAGCGUGGUCAUUUUUGGU
rnacentral:rRNA from 1 species